rnacentral:rRNA from 1 species
UACGUAGGGUGCGAGCGUUAAUCGGAAUUACUGGGCGUAAAGCGUGCGCAGGCGGUCUCGUAAGCUGGGUGUGAAAGCCCCGGGCUUAACCUGGGAAUGGCAUUCAGGACUGCGAGGCUCGAGUGUGGCAGAGGGAGGUGGAAUUCCACGUGUAGCAGUGAAAUGCGUAGAUAUGCGGAGGAACACCGAUGGCGAAGGCAAUCCCCUGGGCCUGCACUGACGCUGAUGAGCGAAAGCUAGGGGAGCAAACAGG